rnacentral:rRNA from 1 species
AGAUACCUACGGGACGCAGCAGUGAGGAAUAUUGGUCAAUGGACGCAAGUCUGAACCAGCCAUGCCGCGUGCAGGAAGACGGCUCUAUGAGUUGUAAACUGCUUUUGUACGAGGGUAAACGCAGAUACGUGUAUCUGUCUGAAAGUAUCGUACGAAUAAGGAUCGGCUAACUCCGUGCCAGCAGCCGCGGUAAUACGGAGGAUUCAAGCGUUAUCCGGAUUUAUUGGGUUUAAAGGGUGCGUAGGCGGUCGUAUAAGUUAGUGGUGAAAUCCCGAGGCUCGACUUCGGAAUUGCCUCUGCUACUU